rnacentral:rRNA from 1 species
GACGAACGCUGGCGGCGUGCUUAACACAUGCAAGUCGAACGGAAAGGCCCUGCUUGCAGGGUGCUCGAGUGGCGAACGGGUGAGUAACACGUGGGUGAUCUGCCCCUUACUUUGGGAUAAGCCUGGGAAACUGGGUCUAAUACUGGAUAGGACCAUGCUGUAGGUGGUGUGGUGGAUAGAUUAGUUUCGGUAAGGGAUGAGCUCGCGGCCUAUCAGCUUGUUGGUGGGGUAAUGGCCGACCAAGGCGUCGACGGGGAGCCGGCCGGAGAGGGUGGACGGCCACAUUGGGACUGAGAUACGGCCCAGACGCCUACGGGAGGCAGCAGUGGGGAAUAUUGCACAAUGGGGGCAAGCCUGAUGCAGCGACGCCGCGUGGGGGAUGACGGCCUUCGGGUUGUAAACUCCUUUCAGCCAUGACGAAGCCCUUGUGGUGACGGUAGUGGUAGAAGAAGCACCGGCUAACUACGUG